rnacentral:rRNA from 1 species
CCUACGUGGCUGCAGUGGGGAAUAUUGGACAAUGGGCGUAAGCCUGAUCCAGCCAUGCCGCGUGUGUGAAGAAGGCCUUCGGGUUGUAAAGCACUUUCAGUGGGGAAGAAAGCCUUGGGGCUAAUACCCUCGAGGAAGGACAUCACCCACAGAAGAAGCACCGGCUAACUCCGUGCCAGCAGCCGCGGUAAUACGGAGGGUGCGAGCGUUAAUCGGAAUUACUGGGCGUAAAGCGCGCGUAGGCGGUCUGAUAAGCCGGUUGUGAAAGCCCCGGGCUCAACCUGGGAACGGCAUCCGGAACUGUCAGGCUAGAGUGCAGGAGAGGAAGGUAGAAUUCCCGGUGUAGCGGUGAAAUGCGUAGAGAUCGGGAGGAAUACCAGUGGCGAAGGCGGCCUUCUGGACUGACACUGACGCUGAGGUGCGAAAGCGUGGGUAGCAAACAGGAUUAGAUACCCCGGUAGUC